GCUUGCUCGAGAUGGUCCCUAAGGCUGGGCCUGCGGCAGCCAAAACAGUAGUGAGAGCUGUUUUGCAAGGGUAGCUGGUGCUGUGUGUUGCCAGAAUUCUAUAGGCUGGAAACCCUGUGGCUGUGGACGCAGCCCAUGUACAACCACUUCAGUGCUCUGUGAAGGAGCAAGUCUGACUGUUACGACAUGAAUAACAACCCCUUUUUUCAUCACUGAUGAAAGACAACAAAUACAAGAUCAAAGAGCCAUCAAGGAAUGAUAUGACAUUGAUUGACUAAGUGGCUAAUGCACUGGUGAGGCCUGACAGUGAGGAGAUUCACAUCUGUUGGGAGAGACUGAUGGUCUGGAUAGAGCCAGCAGGAUUGGAAUAAUUAAAACUGUGAUUAUCCAAGGGCCAUAGACAGAAUGUCACCAACGCAGUGGUGUGAGCAGUAUGAAGCAUAGCAACCAAUGGGCACUGCUUUCUGAAGAUUUGGCAUCUAAAUUGUAUUGUUCAGAGCAUCCCUACUGUGGGGAAUAUCCACUUUAAACAAAACGCACAGCCUCUCGGAGAAUUCAAGCUGAAACAAAAGAAAUAUGAAAUAUUUGCCUGUUUUGAAAUUCACCACAUCUGUUAAUCUUGUGUCUGAGCCAAGCCUUUGCAUACAGGUAUGAUUACAGGUACAAACUUUGUUCCAGAUCAGGAGAAAUUUG